rnacentral:rRNA from 1 species
AACGAACGCUGGCGGCAGGCCUAACACAUGCAAGUCGAACGCCCUAGCAAUAGGGAGUGGCGCACGGGUGAGUAACGCGUGGGAACGUGCCUUUCAGUCUGGAAUAACUGCGGGAAACUGCAGCUAAUACCGGAUAUUCUCUACGGAGGAAAGAUUUAUCGCUGAAAGAUCGGCCCGCGUUAGAUUAGGUAGUUGGUGGGGUAAUGGCCUACCAAGCCUACGAUCUAUAGCUGGUCUGAGAGGAUGAUCAGCCACACUGGAACUGAGACACGGUCCGGACUCCUACGGGAGGCAGCAGUGGGGAAUAUUGGACAAUGGGCGCAAGCCUGAUCCAGCCAUGCCGCGUGAGUGACGAAGGCCUUAGGGUUGUAAAGCUCUUUUGUCAGGGAAGAUAAUGACGGUACCUGAAGAAUAAGACACGGCUAACUUCGUGCCAGCCGCCGCCGUAA